GGAGGGGUAACGGCCCACCAAGGCGACGAUCAGUAGCCGGUCUGAGAGGAUGAACGGCCACACUGGAACUGAGACACGGUCCAGACUCCUACGGGAGGCAGCAGUGGGGAAUCUUCCGCAAUGGGCGAAAGCCUGACGGAGCAACGCCGCGUGAGUGAUGACGGCCUUCGGGUUGUAAAACUCUGUGAUCCGGGACGAAAAGGCAGAGUGCGAAGAACAAACUGCAUUGACGGUACCGGAAAAGCAAGCCACGGCUAACUACGUGCCAGCAGCCGCGGUAAUACGUAGGUGGCAAGCGUUGUCCGGAAUUAUUGGGCGUAAAGCGCGCGCAGGCGGCUUCCCAAGUCCCUCUUAAAAGUGCGGGGCUUAACCCCGUGAUGGGAAGGAAACUGGGAAGCUGGAGUAUCGGAGAGGAAAGUGGAAUUCCUAGUGUAGCGGUGAAAUGCGUAGAGAUUAGGAAGAACACCGGUGGCGAAGGCGACUUUCUGGACGAAAACUGACGCUGAGGCGCGAAAGCGUGGGGAGCAAACAGGAUUAGAUACCCUGGUAGUCCACGCCGUAAACGAUGGAUACUAGGUGUAGGAGGUAUCGACCCCUCCUGUGCCGGAGUUAACGCAAUAAGUAUCCCGCCUGGGAA
rnacentral:rRNA from 1 species